GACAGUGGGGGAUAAGCUUCAUUGUCAAAAGGGAAACAGCCCAGACCACCGGCUAAGGCCCCAAAGUGUUAACUAAGUGGGAAAGGAAGUGAGGUCGCCCAGACAACCAGGAGGUUGGCUCAGAAGCAGCCAUCCUUUAAAGAGUGCGUAAUAGCUCACUGGUCGAGGGAUCCUGCGCCGAAAAUCCAACGGGGCUCAAGUUAACCGCCGAAGCCGUGGCUUCAGUUGCGUUCGCGCAUACUGAGGGGUAGGGGAGCGUUCCUCAGGCACUGAAGGUGAAUCGUGAGAUUUGCUGGAGCGUGAGGAAGUGAGAAUGUCGGCAUGAGUAGCGUAAACCAGUGUGAGAAUCACUGGCACCGAAAGUCUAAGGUUUCCUACGCAACGUUGUUCGGCGUAGGGUUAGUCGGUCCUAAGCCGUAGCCUAAAGGCGAAGGCGAUGGACAACGGGUCAAUAUUCCCGUACCACCUUUAUCUCGCUUUAAAGCAAAGGGGGGACGCGGAAAGGUAGGCGAAGCGCACCCAUUGGACAUGGUGCGUCUGCCUCUGAAGGCCAUGCCGGGAUAGGCAAAUCCGUUCCGGCGUUACGAGCUGAGGGAGGUGGAAACUUUGAGGUUUCCUCAGGGAAUUUCGUUGAACCUAUACCGCCUAGAAAAUCCUCGUUGUUAUGGGAUAGGGGUGACCGUACCGCAAACCGACACUGGUAGACAGGGAGGAAACUCCCAAGGUGUUCGAGAGAACCAUCCUUAAGGAACUCGGCAAUUUAACCCCGUAACUUAGGAAAAAGGGGUGCCCCGGAGGUGAAUGGACUUGCUCCUGGAGCUUCUUGGGGUCGCAGUUAAUUAGGCCAAGCGACUGUUUAACAAAAACACAGGUCUGUGCUAAGGGGAAACCCUAUGUAUACGGGCUGACGCCUGCCCAGUGCUGGAAGGUUAAGGAGAGGGGUGAAUCCCGAUUUAUCGGGAGGCAGCUCUGAACUGAAGCCCCAGUGAACGGCGGCCGUAACUAUAACGGUCCUAAGGUACCGAAAUCCCUUGUCGGGUAAAUUCCGACCCGCAGGAAAGGCGUAACGACUUGGUCGCUGUCUCAAGGAUGGACUCGGUGAAAUUGCAAGGCCCGUGAAGAUGCGGGUAACCCGCGACAGGACAAAAAGACCCCGUGGAGCUUUACUGCAUCCUGACAUUGGAAUGGGGUCAGAGUUGUGUAGGAUAGGUGGGAGGCUAUGAAGUUUCGACGCCAGUCGGGACGGAGCCGUUGUUGAAAUACCACUCUUCUCUGUCUUUGUUUCUAACCCUGGAUAGGCCAGGGGACCGUGUCUGGUGGGCAGUUUGACUGGGGCGGUCGCCUCAUAAAAGGUAACUGAGGCGCCCAAAGGUUCCCUCAAGGUGGAUUGGAAAUCACCUGUAGAGUGUAUUGGCAUAAGGGAGCUUGACUGUGA
rnacentral:rRNA from 1 species